UCCACGUGGGAAGGUCAGGAUUCCAUGUGGGAACAUCGGGAUCCUGUAGGAACACCAGGAUUCCACGUGGGAACGUCCAAAUUCCACGUGGGAACGUCGGGGCCCUGUGUGGGACUGUCCAAAUUCCACGUGGGAAUUCCAGGAUCCCAUGUGGGAACGUCAGGAUUUCUCGUGGGAAUGUCAGGAUUCCGUGUGGGAACGUCGGGAUCCUGUAGGAACACCAGGAUUCCACAUGGGAACACCAGGAUUCCACGUGGGACUGUCCAAAUUCCACGUGGGAACGUCAGGAUUCCGUGUGGGACUGUCCAAAUUCCACAUGGGAAUGUCGGGGUCCCGGUGGGAACGCCGGGAUCCCUUUGGACCGUGCGCUCUCUCUCUCUCUCUCCACGCUCAGAUCAGAUCUCUCUCGAUAAACCACGGCUCCAA